rnacentral:lncRNA from 1 species
UUUGCUAUAUAUCCUAAGGCUUCGCAUGAUCUUUUGUUUGGGACGAUGUUAAGAGCUGCUGGCGGUUACAUCCAUCAUGACUUCAGGAAUUUCUUAGACGUCGGCAGGUGUAAUAACCAGAUCAGGAGACAAUAUAGAAGAUUAAUGCAGGUGCGUAUCCAUGCAGUAGGUUUUGGUUCGGACUCAGCAAGCAUGGCAUGAUUACUAAUAAAAGGAGAUAAAGAUGGAAGGUCAAUGCAUCCAAGGCGUGAACAAGUUCAGACUUUACAAGUGCAGCAUGCAUGUCGUCAUGGAAGAUUGAAAGAGAUUAUAUGUAUGCAUGCAAGGGCAUGCCUCGCUUUUGGAAAGCACAUACACAUGUAUACGUGAUUCCUUUCUGUACACGUUUUGGUAAGAUUUGUUUUGUGGAGACAUAGCCGAACUUGAUUAGGCUUUGUUCGGUUAUUCUUGAGAAGACCAGCCACCUUAUAAAUAUGUAUAAGGGUGACGGCCGAGUGACAACACAUAAUUGACAUAUCAAUCUACUAUAUUAUUUUUUAUCUACUAUUUUCUCUCUGUUUUUUUUUUCUUCUUGUUCUUCGUUGCCAUCUACUUCAUUGUGACAGUGAGCACAAAGUCCUAAGGACGAUCCGGCUGACCUUGGGCAGCCCAUUGCUACUCUUUGACAGGGUUCCUAAACGCUAAACGGUGAACAAUCGGUCACCCUUCGUUUAGCGUUUAGACUGUUUAGACGGUGUUUAAAUAGAUUAAAAUGGUCUAAACGGUUUUACACAAUAUUACAAAAAUAUACAUAUUUUUUAAUGUAAAAUCAAUCAUUUUAUCAUGUAUACAUAUUUAUGCAACUAAAAAACCAUUUAUUUUAUUAUGUACAUAUGUUUAUGCAUGUUAUAAGAAUCAAAUAUACAUAUUUAUGCAUGUAACAAAUCAAUUUUACAUAUUUAUAAAUAUAAUAAAUUUAAGUAUAUAAAUUGUUGAUAUAAAAUUCAACUAGAUUCACCUAGUGUUU